GCCGGGCAUGGUGGCGGACGCCUGUAAUCCCAGCUACUUGGGAGGCUGAGGCAGGAGAAUCGCUUGAACCCAGGAGGCGGAGGUUGCAGUGAGUCAAGAUCAUGCCACUGCACUCCAGCCUGGGUAACAGAGCGAGACUCCGUCUCAA
ensembl:misc_RNA Metazoa_SRP Metazoan signal recognition particle RNA